GGCUCAGAUUGAACGCUGGCGGCAGGCCUAACACAUGCAAGUCGAAUGGUAACAGGAAACAGCUUGCUGUUUCGCUGACGAGUGGCGGACGGGUGAGUAAUGUCUGGGAAACCGCCUGAUGAGGGGGAUAACUACUGGAAACGGUAGCUGAUACCGCAUAACGUCGCAAGACCAAAGAGGGGGACCUUCGGGCCUCUUGCCAUCAGAUGUGCCCAGAUGGGAUUAGCUAGUAGGUGGGGUAACGGCUCACCUAGGCGACGAUCCCUAGCUGGUCUGAGAGGAUGACCAGCCACACUGGAACUGAGACACGGUCCAGACUCCUACGGGAGGCAGCAGUGGGGAAUAUUGCACAAUGGGCGCAAGCCUGAUGCAGCCAUGCCGCGUGUAUGAAGAAGGCCUUCGGGUUGUAAAGUACUUUCAGCGGGGAGGAAGGGAGUAAAGUUAAUACCUUUGCUCAUUGACGUUACCCGCAGAAGAAGCACCGGCUAACUCCGUG
rnacentral:rRNA from 1 species